AUGAACGCUGGCGGCGUGCCUAAUACAUGCAAGUCGAGCGAACAGAUGAGGAGCUUGCUCCUCUGACGUUAGCGGCGGACGGGUGAGUAACACGUGGAUAACCUACCUAUAAGACUGGGAUAACUUCGGGAAACCGGGGCUAAUACCGGAUAAUAUAUUGAACCGCAUGGUUCAAUAGUGAAAGACGGUUUUGCUGUCACUUAUAGAUGGAUCCGCGCCGCAUUAGCUAGUUGGUAAGGUAACGGCUUACCAAGGCAACGAUGCGUAGCCGACCUGAGAGGGUGAUCGGCCACACUGGAACUGAGACACGGUCCAGACUCCUACGGGAGGCAGCAGUAGGGAAUCUUCCGCAAUGGGCGAAAGCUUGACGGAGCAACGCCGCGUGAGUGAUGAAGGUCUUCGGAUCGUAAAACUCUGUUAUUAGGGAAGAACAAAUGUGUAAGUAACUAUGCACGUCUUGACGGUACCUAAUCAGAAAGCCACGGCUAACUACGUG
rnacentral:rRNA from 1 species